GUCCUCAUGAGUUGAGUAUGAGGUCUGGCCUGCCCACUGAAUGUUUUGAAGGGCCGCGGUAUAUUAACCGUGCGAAGGUAGCAUAGUCAAUAGUCUCUUAAUUCGAGGCUUGAAUGAAUGGUUGGACAUAAGGGAGACUGUCUAUGAUCAGUAAGGGUGAAUUUAACUUUUGUGUGAAAAGGCAUUAAUGUGUUAAAGGGACGAUAAGACCCUAUAAAACUUGAUAAUUUGGUAUUAGAUUUUGUGAUAUGUGGUUAAGUUGAGAUUUAGUGAUUUUAUUUUGCUGGGGCGGCAGGAAUAAAAUUUGUAACUGUUCUUUAUAUGAAAUAUUUAUACAUAGAGGUUGAUCCUUAAUUUUGGUUUAAAAGAUAAAGUUACUUUAGGGAUAACAGCGUUAUUUCUCUUGAGAGUUCCUAUCGACAGGGAUAUUUGCGACCUCGAUGUUGAAUUAAAAUUUUUUCCGGGAGUAGGUGUUCGGAUAAUAGGUCUGUUCGACCUUUGAAAUUUUACAUGAUUUGAGUUCAAACCGGUGUGAG
rnacentral:rRNA from 1 species